GGAAGGUGUUGAUCCCAUGCAUUGUGUUAUAUUGCCACAUGCACACGUGAAAAGUGAAGCCACGUCGCACAAACAGCACAGAGGAGAGACCGUCAUCUCCACAAAAGCCACAAAUUCCUUAUUCAGAACAUUAAAAAGGAAAAAAAUACUGACGCAUACAAUAAUGAUAAAUUGUCCGACGUUUCAUACCGUAUGUUUAUCAGUUUAUAUAUAUAUGCGCUUGUAUAAAUACUCGCUCAGGCUUUUGCUGCCUUAAAUUUAUAUGAAUUAUUUCAUGCAGUUUCUUCAGCGCUAUUGCAGCGGCUUUGCUGGAGCAGUAUUGCAGCAGACUUGAGUCUGCCAACGAUCUCCUCCGCCGUGACUGUGAAUCCUUCGUCCACCU
rnacentral:lncRNA from 7 species